GUAUUGAGAAUUGUGGAAUUUCUCUAAAUCUCUAAAUGUCUCUAGAAUGUAGAUGUCAUAGCAACCUUUCAGUCGAUUCUCAUUAAAUCUAUAUUUG